UAGGUGCCAGAACAAGUGACUGAAUGGGAGCCUUUGUCGAUGGCUCCAUUAAGCCAAAUGGACCCAUGAGGAAAAUGAGCAUGGUCUAUGGACCUUACUGCAGGCUCAGGUCCGCGCUGCCGGUGCUGGGUGCACCCACACACACACAGCCCUAUCCUCUCCCUAUGCAGGUCACGAGGGACCACAAGGCCUCCUGAAAUCGACCACCGAAGUAAACUGAGGCGCGAGGGAGGCCAUCUGGCCGAGGAAGAAGCGCCUGGUCCCCGUGUAAAGUGGAGAGGCCGCGCGAAAGGCCGCCCGGGCCACCGACCGCUCCUCGCCGGCCAGGCCGCAGAUGCUGAAUCACUGCCGGAGCCCGUCCGUGAGCCAAGCUCCCUCUCCCACCGCCCCGCGUCACUGGGAACGGAGGCCGAUCCCCGACCGCGUCGGCGGACCUCAGCCCCAAACCCUGCGAGGACCCGGGGCUUAACUCACCAUAGCUCCGGCGAGGCGACAACCAGAGACAGCAGGGGACCAGGAGCACGGCCUCUAAUACGGUUCGGUGAUCGUCAGGGAAGCCUGCGGAGUUUUGACGGCGGCGGCGCAGGAAGCACAGUCUAUCCCAGAGCCACGGAUCGGCGUUUAGCGCUUCCCCGCCCUCCAGCCCUGGGUGGGCGGGGCUUGCGGAAGGGGCGGACCUGGGACGGGCGGGAAACCCCAGGAUUCAAAUGCCUGUGCGCGGAGAAAGCCGGGGCGUGGCCACCACGCCGCGCGCUGGGUUUCUCGCUUUUUACCCUGUGGAUUGCAGAAGACCGUCAACUCUCGACCCAGCUCCGGAUGAUGCGGUUAUCCCGCAUAGCAUCUCAGUCACAGUCCACAGACAUUUCGGGAAUUGCCUGGCUCAAAGAGGGUGCAAAAAAAGGCCAGAGAACCGUUGUGUGUGUGUGUGUGUACACGCGCGCGCGGUAUAGUUGCUAUGUGUGUGUUUUGUGUGUGUUUGUGUUCUUAUUUCUGGCCCGAGUAUGUUGAGUACUUGGAGAGCACAUCUUUCAGGGCUCUACGGUCGUUUCACUCAUUUUAUGACCCCUAGUUGCUGUUGUCAGACUUUGAACUUGACCAGGGUUCUGUUCUGGUAUUUGAUGUUCGCUGUCCACAACUAAAUGCUGUACCUGGUAGAUUAGGCCACUAGGGGGAAGGUGCGAGUUUUCUUACGAAUUUUUAAAGAGCGUUGGUUUUUGUUUUGUUUUGUUUUUAAGUUUAUCAUCAGAUGAAAUCAAGACGGCUCUGGGCUCGCUGCCUACCUAACAUCUACAGACUGAAGAGGCAAUGGAAGUGGAGGAGCACAUUACGUGAAACUCAAAUAUAUACAAAGGAAGUUAAAUAGUAAUAAACUGAAAUUCAUUGAAAAUCCAAACCUGCUACUUGGGAGGUUUGUAUAGAGGACCCGAGAGUGAAACUUUUGAUCCAACUAAAUGACAAGUUUUUCAGUGUUUUCUCGUGGUUUGUGACAGGAACUUUGUAAUGCGAUGACUUCAGCUGCUUCCUAAGCUGCCUUUUAUUUGGAGAAAGUCGGAAGGUCUGAGGAUUCCCACUUCCUGCACAACUUCCUUUGGGGCCACCUUCUCAACACGAAAGCGUGUGAGGGCAAAGAGGCUGUGAGGCAACCCAGAGCCUCCGCUGUGGCCCACAGCCGGGUUAAACGUCUCGAACUCGGCGGUGCAAACAAGCUCUGCUGAGGCAGCUUUUAUCUUCAACAGCAAGUUGGAGGGGACAGUCUGCCGUUUCGGGGAAGCAUCCAUCAACUGCCAUUAUUUGAAAGGUUCUUGCCUUAGACCAGGUCAGUUUCACCGUCAGAGAAAGCUUUUGCUUAUGGGUUUGUUAACGCAGCCUCCAUCUUUCUGUAGGUUGAAGACUAUAGGAGACAGAGUCUGAAGCGCUGGGAAGCCCAUCUCCCAGCAUGCAAAUUUCUACAGAACUCCAUUUUCAUUCACCAAUCUCGGAGCCAGACUUCCUGGCCUCCAGAGCCACAAACCACAGUAAACCUCUCUUUAAUAAAUCCAUCUCAGAUCUUUCUGAUGGAGCAACGGAAAACUGACUAAAGAAACAAAAGUUUCAAGUAAUGUCAGGGAAAUGGUGCUGUACCUCGGUACAAAAGAUGCAGAGAAGUCAGUGCACGGCAAUUGUCUUUAAAAGUGCCACCUUGACUCAGGCAUCUUGGUGCACAUCUGCAAUCCUAGCACAUCUGCUUAAGGGAGGUGGAGGAAGGAGGGUCAGGAGCUCAAGGUGAGCCUUUACCACACAGGGAGCUUGAGGUCAGCUUGGGCUUCACGAGGCCCUGUCUCAAACAAACACUAAGACGUGUGUGUGUGUGUGUGUGUGUGUGCAUACUUAAGAGAUAACUCUUAAGUUGCCAGGCAAGAAAUUUGCUGAAGGGGAGAGGAGGGGAAGAAAGAAGAAAAGAGGAAGGCAAAGGAAGGGACAAAGCCACUUCCCAAAAGCCCAGGACCAGACAGUUUUAGUGCAGAAUUCUAACAGACUUUGGAAGAAGUGUUAAUGUUAACACUCCUCACAUCACUCCACAAAAUAGAAACAAGCUUGUGUGCCCUUGUGUUUGGGGCAUAGAAGUUAAGAAUUGAAAUGCCAUUUUAGUGGAUUUUUCCUUUGAUGAAUACCCCGUUUGAAUAGUUUUGGUUUGAAGUCUAUUUUGUUUGAUAUUAAAAUGGCUUCAUCAGUUUGCUUCUUAGGUCCAUUGCUUGUAAUAUAUUUUCCAACCCUUUACCCUGAGUUGAUGUCUCUUCUUGAUGUUGAGGUGUGUGUGUGUGUGUGUGUGUGUUUCACUUCUUUAGGCAUCAUCAGUUUAUUAUAAAGGGGUGGCAAUGAAAUUAUUUACAUGAUGAAAUAGUUCAAAAUAUCGGUGGAAUGGACAGCUUCAUGUGACACCAUUUCAACAGUGAUUUCAGUCCACAUACUUUCCAGGACUGUCACUGUCUCCAAAUAAGAAAUAAUCCCUGUGGUCUACAACUACGUUGGUGCCUCCAUACUCUGGGAGAAGAACUUUGUCUCCAACCUUCACACUGACAGGUUGAAUCUCUCCACCCUUUCCUUUUGUGCCUGAUCCCACAGCCACUACUGUUGCUUGCAAUACUUUUCCUUGAGACUUUUCUGGAAGCAUAAUGCCUUUGGUUAUAGUUUCGGUGGCCCUCCUUUCAACUAAUACUCUGUCAAAGAGCAGAAGAAUCUUUCUAAAAGCUUGUCCAGCCAUGACUUGCCACAGCAGCUCCAGACUCUGCACCUAGGCCACUGCUGCAAGGAGUCCUGCGGGCUGGCUCAGGACAUGUGAAAAAUAGGUGUUUCUUGAAUGCAGCAGAAGGAUGGAUCCUGUUUUUGCGUCCAUUCUGUUAAUCUGUGUCUUUUUAUUGCAGAAUUUGAAACCAUUGAUACUGAGAAAUAUCAGUGACCAAUGACUGUUGAUUCCUGUUUGUAGAGGAAUUUUAACCCAGCAACAUAGCUUCUCUAUGUUCAAAGACCUCUGUGUGAUCUGGCUGUAACUCAGAUACAUCCUUAGUACACAGCUUUAAUUCCUUUUAAAAGGUAAAGUUAUUUUGUAGAAGGAAGUACCCAUAUUUGAAAGUGAUGUCUAAUUGAGAGGUAGACAAACUGAUGAAUCAGAGAAAGAUCUGUCAGAAUAGGAUAUACACAACUCUAACAAACACAGGGGAAAGAGCGGCUACUUAAGAGAGAGCAGCACACAGAGAGAAAGAGAACAGUUUUACUGGGAGAGUUUUACAGAGACAGGUUGAAGAGAGAACAAGCUAGACACAGGUGAAGGCAGAUUGAGCCAGAGAAUGAGAAAGAGCCAAAAGAUUAGAACAUAUUGUCAAAGUGCUGUGAGGCCAGACAGAGCAAUUCACUCCCAAGCCAAGAGAAGCCAGUUUGAGUAAGUCAGCUUGGAGAGGAGUUUUAAGCCAGAAUAGCUAAGUUGAACCAGCCAACUAGAAUUCAGGGAGAGCUAGAAAGAGACAGCUUAUUCAGAUGUAACACUGAGGCUGAAAACAUUCUAGGCCUAGAUUAGAUUGCAUGGAGGCUAGAAGCUUCAAGGACUAGGUCUAGGUUAGUAGAUGGUGGCUGUAAGCCUUCAACAUGACAGUUAAAUUUGGCAAAUAAAACUUACUUUUACACA